AUUGAACGCUGGCGGCAGGCUUAACGCAUGCAAGUCGAGCGGGGUGAUGGUGCUUGCACUAUCACUUAGCGGCGGACGGGUGAGUAAUGCUUAGGAAUCUGCCUAUUAGUGGGGGACAACAUCUCGAACGGGAUGCUAAUACCGCAUACGUCCUACGGGAGAAAGCAGGGGAUCACUUGUGACCUUGCGCUAAUAGAUGAGCCUAAGUCGGAUUAGCGAGUUGGUGGGGUAAAGGCCUACCAAGGCGACGAUCUGUAGCGGGUCUGAGAGGAUGAUCCGCCACACUGGGACUGAGACACGGCCCAGACUCCUACGGGAGGCAGCAGUGGGGAAUAUUGGACAAUGGGGGGAACCCUGAUCCAGCCAUACCGCGUGUGUGAAGAAGGCCUUAUGGUUGUAAAGCACUUUAAGCGAGGAGGAGGCUCUUUUGGUUAAUACCCAAGAUGAGUGGACGUUACUCGCAGAAUAAGCACCGGCUAACUCUGUGCCAGCCGCCGCCGUAA
rnacentral:rRNA from 1 species